CACGUAGUUAGCCGUCCCUUUCUGGUAAGCUACCGUCACAGUGUGAACUUUCCACUCUCACACCCGUUCUUGACUUACAACAGAGCUUUACGAUCCGAAAACCUUCUUCACUCACGCGGCGUUGCUCCGUCAGGCUUUCGCCCAUUGCGGAAGAUUCCCUACUGCUGCCUCCCGUAGGAGUCUGGACCGUGUCUCAGUUCCAGUGUGGCCGAUCACCCUCUCAGGUCGGCUACGCAUCGUUGCCUUGGUAAGCCGUUACCUUACCAACUAGCUAAUGCGGCGCGGAUCCAUCUAUAAGUGACAGCAAGACCGUCUUUCACUGUUGAACCAUGCGGUUCAACAUGUUAUCCGGUAUUAGCUCCGGUUUCCCGAAGUUAUCCCAGUUCUUAUAGGUAGGUUAUCCACGUGUUACUCACCCGUCCGCCGUCUAACGUCAGAGGAGCAAGCUCCUCGUCUGUUCGCUCGACUUGCAUGUAUUAGGCACGCCGCCAGCGUUCAUCCUGAGCC
rnacentral:rRNA from 1 species